rnacentral:rRNA from 1 species
AGUAGGUGGGGUAACGGCUCACCUAGGCGACGAUCCCUAGCUGGUCUGAGAGGAUGACCAGCCACACUGGAACUGAGACACGGUCCAGACUCCUACGGGAGGCAGCAGUGGGGAAUAUUGCACAAUGGGCGCAAGCCUGAUGCAGCCAUGCCGCGUGUAUGAAGAAGGCCUUCGGGUUGUAAAGUACUUUCAGCGGGGAGGAAGGGAGUAAAGUUAAUACCUUUGCUCAUUGACGUUACCCGCAGAAGAAGCACCGGCUAACUCCGUGCCAGCAGCCGCGGUAAUACGGAGGGUGCAAGCGUUAAUCGGAAUUACUGGGCGUAAAGCGCACGCAGGCGGUUUGUUAAGUCAGAUGUGAAAUCCCCGGGCUCAACCUGGGGAACUGCAUCUGAUACUGGCAAGCUUGAGUCUCGUAGAGGGGGGUAGAAUUCCAGGUGUAGCGGUGAAAUGCGUAGAGAUCUGGGAGGAAUACCGGUGGCGAAGGCGGGCCCCUGGACGAAGACUGACGCUCAGGUGCGAAAGCGUGGGGAGCAAACAGGAUUUAGAUACCCUGGUAGUCCACGCCGUAAACGAUGUCGACUUGGAGGUUGUGCCCUUGAGGCGUGGCUACCGGAGCUAACGCGUUAAGUCGACCGCCUGGGGAGUACGGCCGCAAGGUUAAAACUCAAAUGAAUUGACGGGGGCCCGCACAAGCGGUGGAGCAUGUGGUUUAAUUCGAUGCAACGCGAAGAACCUUACCUGGUCUUGACAUCCACAGAACUUUCCAGAGAUGGAUUGGUGCCUUCGGGAACUGUGAGACAGGUGCUGCAUGGCUGUCGUCAGCUCGUGUUGUGAAAUGUUGGGUUAAGUCCCGCAACGAGCGCAACCCUUAUCUUUUGUUGCCAGCGGUCCGGCCGGGAACUCAAAGGAGACUGCCAGUGAUAAACUGGAGGAAGGUGGGGAUGACGUCAA